AAAAAAGGAAAAAAAAAAGGAGACGUGCAAUUUCGUUCCUUAAGCCGCGAAUCUCUCUUGGAAAGAAAAACAAAGCCAAAAACUUGCUCUCGAAUUCUUCUCUUUUACAUUUCUCGAUCGAAUUUCACUCAUUAACUUCCUCUUCCAAUCGCCUACACGCUACACAGGCGAUGCUACCAUCAAUUGAUUCGCUCAAACGCUGAUAGGAGAAUCGAAUUCAUCUCCUCAAGAUGUUGGAGGAUCAAGUAGCGUAUCUAUUGCAGAGGUACCUGGGGAAUUAUGUCCAGGGCCUCAGUAAAGAAGCUUUAAAGAUCAGUGUCUGGCGAGGUGAUGUGGAGCUAACAAAUAUGCAACUGAAGCCAGAGGCACUCAAUGCAUUACAGUUGCCUGUGAAGGUUAAAGCAGGAUUUCUUGGAUCAGUGAAGCUUAAGGUUCCAUGGAGCAGGCUUGGCCAGGAUCCUGUUUUAGUUUACCUGGAUCAAAUUUUUUUAUUAGCAGAACCUGCAACACAAGUUGAGGGACGUAGUGAGGAUGCAGUCCAAGAAGCAAAGAGAAGCCGUGUGCAGGAAAUGGAAAUGAAGCUGUUGGAACGAGCACAGAAAUUGAAGUCAGAAGUGAAUACAUCGUGGUUGGGAUCCCUUAUCAACACCAUAAUUGGGAAUCUGAAGCUUUCAAUUUCAAAUAUCCAUAUCAGAUAUGAAGAUCUUGAAAGCAACCCUGGCCACCCAUUUGCUGCUGGUGUAUCUUUGGGGAAACUCUCAGCUGUGACGGUAGAUGAUAAUGGGAUGGAAACAUUUGUAACUGGGGGUACACUGGACCGGAUUCAGAAGUAUAUUGAACUUGAUCAACUUGCUAUUUAUCUGGAUUCUGAUAUAUCACCAUGGUACAUUAACAAACCAUGGGAGAACUUGCUUCCUUCGGAGUGGAUUCGGGUUUUUAGAUUUGGUACAAAAGAUGGUAAACCAGCAGAUUGUAUAAUGAAAAAGCACUCGUACAUUCUGCAACCAGUGACUGGAAAUGCAAAGUACUCAAAGUUGAGGUCAAAUGAAUCUGUAAAUGGUGGCCGGCCUCUGCAGAAAGCAGAAGUGAACUUGGAUGACGUGACUCUCUGUUUGUCAAAGGAUGGACACGGGGAUAUUUUAAAAUUAGCUGAUAAUUUUGCUGCAUUUAAUCAACGCUUAAAAUAUGCUCACUAUCGUCCACUGGUGCCGGUGAAAAAUAAUCCACGGUUGUGGUGGAUUUAUGCCUACAGAGCUGUUUCUGACCAGAUGAAGAAGGCAAGUGGGAAAUUAGCUUGGGAGCAGGUACUGAGAUAUGCAAGUUUACGUAAGAGAUAUAUCUCUCUAUAUGCUUCUCUGUUGAAGUCUGACCCGAACCGGGCAAUAAUAGAUGACAACAAAGAAAUUGAGGAGCUGGAUCGUGAACUUGAUAUCGAACUCAUCCUACUGUGGAGAAUGUUGGCUCACAAGUUCGUGGAGCGGUCAAUGGAAUCAGAAAUUGACUCAAUGAAACAGAAGGCUAAAAAGUCAUGGUGGUCAUUUGGAUGGAGCAGUCAAUCUUUUAAAGAUGAAAGUGAACAAUUUCGUUUCAGUGAUGAGGACUGGGAACAACUAAACAAACUGAUAGGUUAUAAGGAAGGUGAUGAUGGGCAGUCAGUAGUAUUUAAUGAGAAGAUGGAUGCUCUUCAUACUUAUUUGGAGGUUCAUGUGCAACAUAAUGCUUCAAAGCUUGUUGAUGGGGACCAGGAGUGUCUUGCUGAAUUAUCUUGUGAUGGUCUUGAUUGCUUCAUUAAGCUUUAUCCAGAAACGAAGGUUUUUGACAUGAAAUUGGGGUCAUAUCAGUUAUCAUCACCAAAUGGUCUCGUUGCUGAGAGUGCAACUGCUUCGGACUCUCUAAUUGGUGUCUUCUGUUAUAAGCCUUUUGAUGCUGAGGUGGACUGGAGCAUGGUUGUCAAAGCUUCUCCUUGUUACAUGACCUAUUUGAAGGAUUCCAUUGAUGAGAUUAUUAAAUUUUUUGAGAGCAACCAUUCUGUUAGUCAGACUGUUGCACUGGAAACAGCAGCUGCUGUGCAGAUGACAAUUGAUGGAGUAAAGCGCACUGCUCAACAAGAAGUGAACAGGGCUUUGAAGAAUCAAUCGAGGUUUCUGUUGGACUUGGACAUUGCGGCUCCAAAAAUUACAAUUCCUACUGAAUUUUGUCCUAACAACGUCCAUCCAACAAAACUUUUGCUAGACUUGGGAAAUUUGGUGAUUCGCUCAAAGGAUGACAAUGAAAGGAGACCAUCUGAGGAGCUUAAUAUGUAUUUGCAUUUUGAUUUGGUUUUAAGUGACGUCUCUGCCUUUUUGGUUGAUGGUGACUACCACUGGAGUCAAACCUCUUUGCACAAGUCUGCUAAUUCUGGCAAAUCAAUUGGUAUUAGCUUCUUGCCUGUUAUUGAUAAGUGUGGGGUAAUCUUAAGGCUUCAACAGAUUCGAUCAGAAAACCCAUCCUAUCCUUCAACAAGGCUCUCUGUGCGGUUGCCAUCAUUAGGAUUUCACUUUUCUCCUGCGCGGUAUCAUCGAUUGAUGCAAGUAGCAAAGAUCUUUCAGGGUGAGGAUGCUGAGAAUUCAAAUCUUAUUUGCAAUUGGGAUCAAGCAGACUUUGAAGGGUGGUUGCAUCUUCUUAUUCGAAAGGGAAUGGCAAAUAGGGAAGCUACAUGGCAACGUCGAUACCUCUGCUUAGUUGGGCCUUUUCUUUAUGUAUUGGAAAACUCUGGUUCUAAAUCUUACAAACAGUAUCUCAGUUUACGAGGAAAACAAUUAUAUCAACUUCCAGUUGAAUUGGUUGGUGGUGUGCAACAUGUAUUGGCCAUCUAUGACGCUGGACGUCCUGUUAACAAGGUUGUCGAAGAUGUGAAUGCAUUAAUACUGCUAUGUGAUUCUGAUGAUUCACGGAGAAAUUGGCAAAGUCGCUUGCAGGGGGCCAUAUAUCGUGCUUCAGGUUCUGCCCCUAUUACUGGUCUUUCUGAAACUUCUUCAGAUUCUGAUAACUCAGAAAUUGGACUUAAUAGCAACCUUGAUGCAAGUGAUGUAUUGGAGAUGGAACGUGUAUUUUUAACAGGAGUUCUUGAUGAACUAAAGAUCUCCUUCAAUUACAAUCAUAAGCAUGACCUGAGUUUUGUAAAGGUGCUUCUUGCUGAAGAGAUUCCUUUAUUUGAAUUUCGAGCAAUUGGUGGCCAGGUUGAGAUUUCAAUUAGAGCAAAUGACAUGUUUGUUGGUACUGUUUUGAAAUCUUUGGAGAUUGAAGAUUUAGUUUGUUGCAAUGGCAUUUCGCGGUCUUCUUUUCUGGCAAGAUCAUUCAUCCGAAGUGAAGAACAUUCAUCAUCACUUGAACAGGCUGGGAGUCAUAGCUUUAACGACAAUAAUGUCACCGCUAGUGAAGGCGAGGAUAGUUUCUAUGAGACAUCAGAGAAUUUGGUUGAUCUUGAGUAUCUGGCUUCUCCAAUUUCACAUCCAUUUGAAGAUGCAUUGUUGAAGCCUCCCACUUUUAAUCGAAUCACUGGUUUGCUACCUGGUGAUACUGUUCAAAAUGGCAUGGAGGACAUUGAACUAACUAAUAACUUGGAUAGUUUUGUGAAAGCUCAGAUAAUUAUCUAUGACCAGAACUCUUCUCUCUAUAAUAACAUUGACAUGCAGGUCUCAGUGACACUUGCUACAUUGUCAUUUUUCUGCCGCAGACCCACAAUUCUUGCCAUCAUGGAAUUUGUCAAUGCUAUUAAUGUCAAAGAUGGAAAUAGUGAAUCUGUUGGUAGUAGUUAUUUGGCAUUGCUGGUUGAACAUGAUGAUACUAGAGAAGAAGCGGUUAAUGAUCAAUAUUUGACAACCAUUGAGGAGCCUGUUGUUAAGGGUUUGCUGGGGAAGGGAAAGUCUAGAAUUAUUUUCAAUAUAAUUUUGAAUAUGGCUCGUGCUCAGAUUUUGUUGAUGAAUGAAAAUGAAACAAAGCUAGCAUCUUUAUCCCAAGAUAAUUUACUUACAGAUAUUAAGGUCUUUCCAAGCUCUUUUAGCAUAAAGGCAGCACUUGGAAAUCUAAGAAUAAGUGAUGAGAGUCUUCCUAGCAACCAUGCAUAUUUCUGGAUCUGUGAUAUGAGAAAUCCAGGGGGCAGCUCAUUUGUUGAGCUGGUUUUUACAUCGUUUAGUGUUGAUGAUGAAGACUAUGAAGGUUAUGAAUAUAGCCUUUUUGGGCAACUUUCAGAAGUGCGGAUUGUUUAUUUGAACCGAUUUGUGCAGGAGGUUGUUAAUUACUUUAUGGGUCUUGUUCCCAACAAUUCAAAGGGUCUUGUUAAAUUAAAUAAUCAAGUGACAAAUUCUGAGAAGUCAUUUACAACCAGUGAAAUUGAAGGAUCACCUGCACUGAAGUUGGACAUUUCACUUAGGAAGCCAAUAAUAUUGAUGCCUAGGAGAACAGAUAGUCUUGAUUACUUGAAGUUGGAUGUGGUUCACAUAACUGUGCAGAAUACCUUCCAUUGGUUUUGUGGCGACAAAAGUGAGAUGAGUGCUAUCCAUUUGGAAAUGCUAACAAUUCAGGUUGAGGACAUCAAUUUAAAUGUUGGUACUGGAACAGAAUUAGGUGAAAGCAUAAUUCAAGAUGUCAAGGGGGUUUCUAUUGGCAUUCGGAGGUCACUUAGAGACUUGUUGCAUCAAAUACCAAGUGUAGAAGUAGCAAUCAAGAUAGAAGAGUUAAAAGCGGCUCUGUCAAAUAAGGAGUACCAGAUUAUUACUGAAUGUGCACUAUCUAAUAUGUCUGAGACUCCGCAUCUUGUGCCCACUCUGGAUCAUUAUUCUGGGACAUUUUCUAUUGAUGUAGUAGAACCCAUUGUCUCUCAGGAUACUGUAGGUGUAUCCGAGGCCCAGAAUGGGGAAGCGUGGAUUUCCAUGAAAGUUUCUGUUCUUAUCAAUCUAGUUGAGUUGAGUUUACAUGUGGGGGUAGCCAGAGAUGCAUCUUUGGCCACAGUACAGGUUGCUGGUGGAUGGCUUCUUUAUAAAUCUAAUAACCUUGGGGAAGGUUUUCUCUCAGCAACACUUAAGGAUUUCACUGUGAUUGAUGAUAGGGAGGGAACUGAAGAAGAGUUUAGGUUGGCGAUAGGGAAGCCUGAGAAGAUUGGUUAUGGUCCCCUAUGUUCAAUGACAGAGAAUGAAAACCAGCAUAUGGCUGAUGCAAACUUCAAAAGAGAUAGUGAGAUGAAACCCACUCCUACAAUGCUUAUACUUGAUGCAAAAUUUGCUCAACACUCAACACUUGUUUCUCUCUGUGUUCAAAGGCCACAGUUGCUUGUUGCACUUGAUUUUCUUCUGGCAGUUGUUGAGUUUUUUGUUCCGAAUAUGCUGUCAAAUGAGGAAAAUAAGAACCCUUUACAUGUGGUUGAUGCGAUUAUUUUAGAUAACUCAAUUUAUAGGCAAUCCUCAGCUGAAAUUUCACUCUCUCCUUUGAGACCAUUAAUUGUUGACGAUGAAAGAUAUGACCAUUUCAUUUUUGAUGGUCAAGGUGGAAUUUUGCACUUAAAAGAUAAACAGGGACGUAAUCUUUCUGCACCUAGCAAGGAAGCUAUUAUAUAUGUGGGAAGUGGAAAAAAACUUCAAUUUAAAAAUGUUGUCAUCAAGAAUGGGAAAUAUUUGGAUUCUUGUGUAUUUUUGGGAAGCAAUAGCAGCUACUAUGCUUCAAGGGAUGAUCAGGUCCAUCUGGAAGAGGAUGAAGCUUCUUGUAUGGACUCCUCAAGGGAAAGCAUUGAUGGCUUACAAGCUCAAAAUGCUGCAGUUGACAGAUCCACAGAACUUAUCAUUGAGUUUCAGGCUAUUGGCCCAGAGUUAACAUUUUACAAUACAUCAGAAGACGUGGGAAUGUCACCAAUCGUCUCUAACAAAUUAUUACAUGCACAGUUGGAUGCAUUUUCCAGGAUUGUUUUCAAGGGCGAUACAGUUGAAAUGACUGCAAAUGCACUCGGUUUGAUGAUGGAGAGCAAUGGAAUCAGGGUUUUGGAGCCUUUCGACACCUCUGUGAAUUAUUCAAAUGCUUCUGGGAGGACAAAUAUUCAUUUAUCUGUUUCAAAUAUUUUCAUGAACUUUACAUUCAGCAUUUUGAAACUUUUUUUAGCAGUUGAAGAAGACAUUUUGUCAUUUCUGAGGAUGACCUCAAAACAGAUAACAGUAGCCUGUUCUGAGUUUGAUAAAGUUGGAACAAUAAGAAAUCCAUAUAGCGAUCAAAUCUAUGCCUUUUGGAGACCUCGUGCACCGCCUGGCUUUGCAGUUCUUGGAGACUAUCUGACUCCAUUGGACAAGCCACCGACAAAAGGAGUUGUCGCUGUGAACAUGAACUUUGCAAGAGUCAAAAGACCCAUAUCUUUCAAACUAAUUUGGCCCCCAUUAGCUUCUAAGGGAACUUCUAAUCAAGGCAUAACCAGUUCUGUCAUUCUAGAAAAUGGCCAAAGUGGGGGAGAUAGUAGCUGUUCCAUUUGGUUUCCUGAAGCACCCAGAGGUUAUGUUGCAUUGGGCUGUGUGGUGUCUGCAGGAAGAACACAACCACCUCUAUCUUCUGCUUUCUGCAUCUUGGCUUCUCUAGUUUCUCCUUGUUCCCUGAGGGAUUGUAUUGCCAUCUUCUCUCCCAAUCUGUAUGCUGAAUUUUCAGAAAUUAUUCUCAUUUAUGGGUUAAUAUUGCAUAUCUAGAUGCAUGCAUGCACAAAUGCAUGGACCUAUACAUAUUGUCAUGCACAGGAACAGGUGCAUAGUCACUGCUAUUUGGUUAUAUUGAUGGAAUUACCUGUUGAGUUUUCUAUUUUUCUUUUCAAAUUUCAGAUAUCCAUCACCUUUGGCCUUUUGGCGUGUGGAAAAUUCUUUGGGUACUUUCUUACCAGCAGAUCCAAUGACUCUUAGCUUAAUAGGUGGUGCUUAUGAAUUGCGCAAUAUAAAAUUUGGGCUCUCAGAAUCUUCUACUAAAGCAUCCAAAAGUUCAGAUGCACGAACUUCUUCUGGUGACGAUGCACUUCAAUCAGGAAAAUCGUCAUGUGUAAACUCUGGGCGGCGUUUUGAAGCUGUUGCCAGUUUUCAAUUAAUAUGGUGGAACCAAACUUCAAGCUCAAGAAAGAAAUUAUCCAUAUGGCGUCCAAUAGUCCCUCAGGGGAUGGUAUAUUUCGGUGAUAUUGCCGUUAAAGGGUAUGAGCCUCCCAAUGCUUGCAUUGUCCUUCAUGAUACUGGAGAUGAAGAGUUUUUCAAAACUCCUUUGGAUUACCAACUUGUUGGACAGAUUAAGAAACAGAAGGGUAUGGAUAGUAUUUCUUUCUGGAUGCCUCAAGCUCCCCCAGGCUUUGUUUCAUUGGGCUGCAUUGCUUGUAAGGGCUCACCAAAACAACUUGAUUUCAACAAGUUAAGAUGCAUGCGCAGUGACAUGGUUGCUGGGGAUCAAUUCUUAGAGGAAAGUGUGUGGGAUACAUCAGAGGCCAAGUUUACAGCAGAAUCAUUUAGCAUAUGGACAGUUGGUAAUGAGUUGGGGACCUUUAUGGUCCGCAGCGGUCUCAAAAAACCUCCAAGACGGUUUGCUCUAAAGUUGGCUGAUCCUAACAUACCAAGUGGUUCAGAUGAUUCUGUUAUUGAUGCAGAAAUUGGAACCUUUUCUGCAGUCAUUUUUGAUGAUUAUGGUGGCCUGAUGGUUCCAUUGUUCAAUAUAUCUUUAAGUGGAAUAGGUUUCAAUUUGCAUGGAAGAACCGAUUACUUGAAUUCCGCUAUCAGUUUCUCUUUGGCUGCCAGAUCAUAUAAUGAUAAGUAUGAAUCGUGGGAGCCACUUGUUGAGCCAGUUGAUGGAUUUCUAAGAUACCAAUAUGAUCUCAAUGCCCCAGGGGCAGCUUCACAGCUACGCUUGACCUCAACGAGGAAUUUGAACUUAAAUGUUACCAUAUCCAAUGCUAAUAUGAUUAUUCAAGCUUAUGCAAGUUGGAAUAGUCUUAGUAAUGUCCAUGAAUAUUACAAGAAAAGAGAUGAAUUUCCUCCAACUUAUGGUGCAAGAUCUGUAACUGACAUCCAUCAAAGGAGAAAUUAUUAUAUUAUCCCACAAAACAAGCUUGGUCAGGACAUUUUUAUUCGGGCAACUGAAAUCAGAGGGCUAGCAAAUAUAAUAAGAAUGCCAUCUGGGGAUAUGAAGCCCGUGAAAGUUCCUGUUUCAAAAAAUAUGUUGGACUCUCACUUAAAAGGAAAGCUUUGCUCAAAAGUUAGAAAAAUGGCGACAGUUGUUGUAGUGGAUGCACAGUUCCCAAGAGUUGGCGGGUUGACUUCCAAUUUCUACACUGUAGCAAUGCGUCUUACUCCAAACCAAGGUCUGGAUAGUGAAUCAGCAUUUCAUCAACAAAGUGCACGAACAAGUGGAAGCAUAUCAAACUUGUCUUCUGAGGUCGAAUUGGUCAACUGGAGUGAAAUAUUUUUCUUUAAAGUUGACUGCCAGGAUAAUUACUUGUUGGAGCUUAUUGUGACUGAUAUUGGAAAAGGUGAUCCAAUUGGAUUUUUCUCAGCUCCUUUGAAUCAGAUUGCAGCAAAUAUCCAAGAAAAUCUAAAUCAGUGUGACUAUCUGAAUUACUUGACCUGGAUAGACUUAUCCCCUGCAAAAUAUCUGACUGCAAAUCUAGGAGAUAAACAUAAGUCAUCUGGGAGAAUAAGAUGUGCGGUACUCUUGUCACCUGGAUCUGACAUCGAGGACAGAAAUGAUGUUCCCAAUAAUGACAGAAAAUCUGGAUUUAUUCAGAUCAGUCCUAGCAUGCAAGGGCCUUGGACAUCUGUGAGGCUAAACUAUGCUGCUCCUGCUGCAUGUUGGCGACUAGGCAAUGAUGUUGUUGCCAGUGAAGUCAGUGUGCAGGAUGGCAAUAGAUAUGUAAACAUAAGGUCUCUGGUUACAGUAUGUAAUAAUACAGAUUUUAUACUUGAUUUGCACCUUGUAUCCAAUGAUGCCAGUAAACCUGAGGAAUUACAAAGUAGUGAUAGAGCUGAAACAGAUGAGUUCUUUGAAACUGAAAUCUACAACCCAACAGUUGGAUGGGUCAGCUACUCAGAUUACUCACAGGCUACUUUUGGAGUUCAGUUACCAUCAGGAUGGGAAUGGAUUGAUGAUUGGCAUUUAGAUAAAUCAUCUGUCAAUCCUGAGGGUUGGGUUUAUUCUCCAGAUGUUGAAAGCCUAAAGUGGCCUGAGUCAUUUGAUCCUCUAAAGUUUGUGAAUCAUGCAAGGCAAAGGAGAUGGAUCAGGAAUAGGAGGCAAUUUUCAGGGGGAGUAAAGCAGGAGAUAUCUGUUGGAUCAUUGAAACCUGGAGACACUGUACCUCUUCCUUUAUCAGGCUUGACACAAUCUGGAAUGUAUGUCAUGCAGUUAAGACCUUCAAGUGUUAAUGCUCAUGAUGAAUAUUCAUGGAGUUCUGUGGUGGAUAAGCCUGGUCAAACUGUGCAAUAUGGCAAGCUCAGAGGUUCUGAAAUAUGUGUAUCAACUCUUACAGAGUCUGAUGAACUUUUAUACUGCACCCCAAUAACUGGCACGUCUUCAAAUGGUUCUCACAGAUUGUGGUUUUGUGUAAGCAUACAAGCCACAGAGAUUGCAAAAGACAUUCAUUCUGAUCCUAUUCAGGACUGGACUCUUGUGGUCAAAUCCCCAUUAUCUAUCAGCAAUUAUCUUCCCUUUGCCACUGAAUACUCUAUUCUUGAAAUGCAAGGAAGUGGUCAUUUUGUUGCAUGUGCUAGGGGAAUAUUUGCUCCAGGAAAAACUGUGAAGAUUCACACAGCUGACAUAGGAAAGCCUCUAUUCUUUUCUCUUCUUCCACAGAGAGGGUGGCUGCCAAUACAGGAUGCUGUUCUUAUAUCUCAUCCUAGUGGACUUCCAUCUAAAACAAUAAGCUUAAGGAGUUCAGUUUCUGGAAGGAUUGUUCAACUCAUUCUUGAACAAAAUUAUGAUGAGGAACAACCACUGCUGGAAAAAGUCAUUAGAGUCUACGCCCCUUAUUGGUUUUCAACUGCCAAAUGCCCUCCACUUACAUAUAGGCUUGUAGAUCUGGCACGGAAAAAACAUGCAUGGAAAAUAGCUCUUCCAUUUGAGUCCAAAAAGAGCAAUGAAGUAAUUCUGGGGGAAAUAACUGAAGAGGAAAUAUAUGAAGGUUGUACAAUUGCUUCAGCUUUGAACUUCAAAUUUUUGGGCUUUUCAGUAGCAAUUGCUCAAACUGGCGAGGAUCAGUACUUUGGGCCCGUUACAGAUCUUUCUCCACUCGGUGACAUGGAUGGAUCAUUGGACCUUUAUGCUUAUGAUGCCGAUGGUAACUGCAUGAGGCUUUUUAUUUCCACAAAGCCGUGUCCAUACCAAUCUGUCCCUACAAAGGUAAUUUCUGUGCGGCCAUUCAUGACCUUUACAAACAGACUUGGCCAAGAUAUAUUUAUCAAGUUGAACACUGAAGAUGAACCAAAGGUUCUCCAUGCAUUUGAUUCAAGAAUCUCCUUUGUACAUCACAGAACAGUUGGAGCCGAUAAACUCCAGGUUUGUUUAGAAGAUACAGAAUGGUCGUACCCUGUUCAAAUUACAAAAGAGGACACCUUCUUUCUUGUUUUGAGGAGAUCAAAUGGUACACGAAAAAUUUUGAGGACGGAAGUACGGGGAUAUGAAGAAGGAUCACGCUUUAUAGUUGUAUUCCGCUUUGGGUCAACUGAUGGUCCUGUCAGGAUUGAGAACAGAACAAGUAGCAAGACAAUAAGCAUUCGCCAAUCAGGAUUUGGUGAAGAUGCAUGGUUUGUAUUGGAACCUCUGUCGACAACAAAUUUUUCGUGGGAAGAUCCAUAUGGCCAAAAAUUCAUUGAUGCCAAGAUAGAUAGUGAUGGUAAAAUUGAUGCUUGGAAAUUUGAUUUGGAAAGGACUGGGAUAUCUUCUGCAGAGGAUGGUGAAACAAGAUUGCAAUUAUAUGUCACGGAAAUGGGAGAUAUCAAGGUUGCUAGGUUUACAGUUAACAGGGGUUUGAUUUCACAUGGGGAAAGCACAUCUAUGACAGCCGCUGGUUAUUGGGGGGAUUCUCACAGGCAGAAUGAGAUGCUGAAUGACACCACACCUUUAGAGCUCAUAGUUGAGCUGGGAGUGGUUGGGAUUUCUGUUGUGGAUCACAGACCAAAAGAGCUCUGUUACUUGUACUUGGAAAGGGUUUUUUUAUCAUACUCGACUGGCUAUGAUGGUGGGACAACAAGCAGAUUCAAGGUCAUACUUGGUUAUUUGCAGCUUGACAAUCAGCUUCCUUUAACCUUGAUGCCAGUGCUGUUGGCACCUGAGCAGACCACAGAUAUACAUCACCCAGUUUUUAAGAUGACUAUUACUAAACACAACGAGAACACUGAUGGCAUCCAAGUCUACCCAUAUGUAUACAUACGGGUUACUGAAAAGGUUUGGAGGCUUAAUAUCCAUGAACCUAUUAUCUGGGCAUUUGUGGAUUUCUACAACAAACUCCAGCUUGAUCGUGUCCCCCAGAGUUCUACUGUAACUCAGGUUGAUCCUGAGAUACGUAUAGAGUUAAUAGAUGUUUCAGAAAUAAGGCUGAAGGUGUCCUUAGAGACAGCGCCAGCUCAGAGACCUCAUGGGGUUCUAGGUGUGUGGAGUCCCAUUCUGUCUGCUGUUGGAAAUGCAUUUAAAAUUCAGGUGCAUCUGAGGAGGGUGAUGCAUAGAGACAGAUUCAUGCGAAAGAGUUCCAUUAUGCCUGCUAUUGGAAACCGCAUUUGGAGAGAUCUGAUUCAUAAUCCUCUACAUCUGAUAUUUUCUGUAGAUGUGCUUGGUAUGACAAGUUCAACAUUGGCCUCUCUUAGUAAAGGGUUCGCUGAACUUUCAACAGAUGGACAGUUUCUACAAUUGCGCUCUAAGCAGGUGGGAUCAAGGAGAAUCACUGGGGUAGGUGAUGGAAUUAUUCAAGGAACAGAAGCUCUGGCACAAGGUGUUGCCUUUGGGGUAUCUGGAGUUCUGACAAAGCCAGUGGAGAGUGCUAGACAAAAUGGUCUCUUAGGACUUGCUCAUGGGCUUGGGUGUGGAUUCUUAGGAAUUAUUGUACAACCAGUCAGUGGCGCAUUAGAUUUUUUCUCUCUGACAGUUGAUGGAAUUGGUGCUAGUUGCUCCAACUGCAUAGAAGUUCUCAAUAACAAGACCACUUUCCAGAGAAUUAGAAACCCUCGGGCUAUUCGUGCUGAUUGUAUUCUGCGGGAGUAUAGUGAGAAAGAAGCUGUUGGCCAGAUGAUUCUCUGUCUUGCAGAAGCAAGUCGACAUUUUGGCUGUGCUGAAAUAUUCAAGGAGCCCUCAAAAUUUGCAUGGUCUGAUUAUUUCGAAGAAUUUUUUGUUGUGCCUUACCAAAGGAUUGUUUUAGUCAGCAACAAACGAGUCAUGCUACUGCAGUGCCCAGCUCUAGAUACGAUGGACAAGAAACCUUCAAAGAUCAUGUGGGAUGUGCCGUGGGAAGAACUCAUGGCCCUGGAACUGGCAAAAGCAGGCUGCCGCCAACCUUCUCACUUACUCCUGCAUCUCAAGAAUUUUAAAAGAUCUGAAAAUUUUGUUCGAGUCAUAAAAUGCAAUGUUGAGGAAGAAUCAGAGGGAAGUGAACCCCAAGCUGUUAGGAUUUGUUCUGUAGUGCGUAGGAUGUGGAAAGCUUAUCAAUCUGACAUGAAAAGCUUAAUUCUAAAGGUUCCUUCAAGUCAAAGACAUGUCUACUUUUCUUGGAGUGAAGCUGAUGGAGAGCCACAUAUCCCAAGUAAAGUGAUUAUAAAGUCAAGAGAGCUAUCUUCAUCAAGUAAUGCAUCUAGUGAAGGGAGAUUUGUUGAGCACAGUAUCAACUUUUUGAAGAUUUGGAGCAGUGAACAUGAACCAAAAGGUCGAUGCAAAUUGUGUAGGAAGCAGGUUCUUGAGGAUGAUAGGAUAUGUAGCAUAUGGAGACCCAUUUGUCCAAACGGGUACAUCUCCAUUGGGGAUAUAGCUCGUGUUGGCAGCCAUCCUCCAAAUGUUGCUGCUCUUUAUCGCAACAGUGACAGAUUGUUUGCACUUCCUAUGGGUUAUGACUUGGUAUGGAGAAAUUGUAGGGAUGACUACAAAACACCAGUGUCAAUUUGGCAUCCAAGGGCUCCUGAGGGAUUCGUGGCUCCUGGGUGUGUUGCUGUGGCUGGUUUUGAGGAACCAGAACCCAAUUUGGUACGGUGCGUAGCAGAAUCACUGGUUGAGGAAACAGAAUUUGAAGAGCAAAAGACAUGGUCAGCCCCAGAUUCAUACCCGUGGGCUUGUCAUAUUUAUCAAGUGAGAAGUGAUGCUCUUCACUUUGCUGCUCUAAGGCAAACAAGAGAAGAUUCUGACUGGAAGCCAAUGAGAGUUGUUGAUGAUCCCCACUUUCCGGUGCAACCUUAGAAACUCGGUAAGAAAUUCCAUCUUUUUGGCUGUAAUUGGCAUUACUGAUUAUAGAUAAAGAGUAGCAAACGAGCAGAUGUAAAUAUACUUGCCAAAAUAUUUGGGGGCGGUUUUAACGCGGAAAUGAAAUAGGUUUUUAGUUUUUUUUUCAGGGGCUAUACAUCCAAAACAGAAUGUUACAAUCAUGUACAGGUUAUCGUGUUUUCAUGUAAAAAAUGUCUUUUUUUUUCUUUGAGCUGUGUGAUAAAUUGAUAAUAUUUCAUUCAUCA
rnacentral:misc_RNA from 1 species